rnacentral:misc_RNA from 1 species
GAUGAAGAACGUAGCGAAAUGCGAUAAGUAAUGCGAAUUGCAGAAUUCCGUGAGUCAUCGAAUCUUUGAACGCACAUUGCGCCCUUUGGUAUUCCGAAGGGCAUGCCUGUUCGAGCGUCAUUAUCAACCCUCAAGCCCGGCUUGCUGUUGGGUCCCGUUGGGCGCAAACCUCAACGGACCUCAAAGAAAAUGGUAGAGCCCGUGGGGAUCUGGAUGCAGCGAGCUUCUCAGCACGCAUCACAGCGAUCCUCCGGCUCGGCCUUAAUCGUCAUUUUUCACUGGUUGACCUCGGAUCAGGUAGGGAUACCCGCUGAACUUAAGCAUAUCAAUAAGCGGAGGA